rnacentral:rRNA from 1 species
GUGGGGAAUCUUAGACAAUGGGGGAAACCCUGAUCUAGCCAUGCCGCGUGCAGGAAGAAGGCCUUCGGGUUGUAAACUGCUUUUGUACGGAACGAAACGGUCCUGGUUAAUACCUGGGGCUAAUGACGGUACCGUAAGAAUAAGCACCGGCUAACUACGUGCCAGCAGCCGCGGUAAUACGUAGGGUGCAAGCGUUAAUCGGAAUUACUGGGCGUAAAGCGUGCGCAGGCGGUUUUGUAAGACAGGCGUGAAAUCCCCGGGCUCAACCUGGGAAUUGCGCUUGUGACUGCAAGGCUGGAGUGCGGCAGAGGGGGAUGGAAUUCCGCGUGUAGCAGUGAAAUGCGUAGAUAUGCGGAGGAACACCGAUGGCGAAGGCAAUCCCCUGGGCCUGCACUGACGCUCAUGCACGAAAGCGUGGGGAGCAAACAGGAUUAGAUACCCGGGUAGUCC